CCUACGGGGGGCUGCAGUGAGGAAUAUUGGUCAAUGGGCGCGAGCCUGAACCAGCCAAGUAGCGUGAAGGAUGACUGCCCUACGGGUUGUAAACUUCUUUUAUAAAGGAAUAAAGUGAGGCACGUGUGCCUUUUUGUAUGUACUUUAUGAAUAAGGAUCGGCUAACUCCGUGCCAGCAGCCGCGGUAAUACGGAGGAUCCGAGCGUUAUCCGGAUUUAUUGGGUUUAAAGGGAGCGUAGAUGGGUUGUUAAGUCAGUUGUGAAAGUUUGCGGCUCAACCGUAAAAUUGCAAUUGAUACUGGCAGUCUUGAGUACAGUUGAGGUAGGCGGAAUUCGUGGUGUAGCGGUGAAAUGCUUAGAUACCCCGAAGACCUCCGAUGCCGAAGGCAGCUUCCUAAACUGCCCCUGCCAUUGAUGCCCGAAAGUGUGGGUAUCAACCAGGAUUAGAUCCCCCUGUAGUC
rnacentral:rRNA from 1 species